UACAGAGGUGGCAAGCGUUGUUCGGAAUUACUGGGCGUAAAGGGCGCGUAGGCGGCCAUCUAAGUCAGACGUGAAAUCCCCCGGCUUAACCUGGGAACUGCGUCUGAUACUGGAAGGCUUGAGUAUGGGAGAGGGAUGUAGAAUUCCAGGUGUAGCGGUGAAAUGCGUAGAUAUCGGAAGGAACAUCAGUGGCGAAAGCGACUUCCUGGACCAGAACUGACGAUCAGGCACGAAAGCGUGGGGAGCAAACAGG
rnacentral:rRNA from 1 species